CAGUCGCCGCGGGAAUACGUAGGGUCCGAGCGUUGUCCGGAAUUAUUGGGCGUAAAGAGCUUGUAGGCGGUCUGUCGCGUCUGCCGUGAAAUCCUCAGGCUCAACCUGAGGCGUGCGGUGGGUACGGGCAGGCUAGAGUGCGGUAGGGGAGAAUGGAACUCCUGGUGUAGCGGUGGAAUGCGCAGAUAUCAGGAAGAACACCGAUGGCGAAGGCAGUUCUCUGGGCCGUAACUGACGCUGAGGAGCGAAAGCGUGGGGAGCGAACAGGAUUAGAUACCCGGGUAGUCCCUGUCUCUUAUAC
rnacentral:rRNA from 1 species